GACGAACCGUGCGAACGUUGUUCGGAUUCACUGGGCUUAAAGGGCGCAUAGGCGGACAAUCAAGUCAGGGGUGAAAGCCUCCAGCUCAACUGGAGAAGUGCCUUUGAUACUGACUGUCUCGAGGGAGGUAGGGGCAUGUGGAACUUCCGGUGGAGCGGUGAAAUGCGUAGAUAUCGGAAGGAACGCCGGUGGCGAAAGCGACGUGCUGGACCUCUUCUGACGCUGAGGCGCGAAAGCUAGGGGAGCAAACGGG
rnacentral:rRNA from 1 species